CAAAGUUUUGGUCCUAAACUUGCCGUUGUUUUUAGUCAAAAUUACACAUGCAAGCCUCCACACGCCAGUGAGAAUGCCCAUAUGCGCCCCGACAGUUAAACGGAGCAGGUAUCAGGAACACUCAACUUGCAGCCCAUAACACCUUGCUACGCCACACCCCCACGGGCUUACAGCAGUGAUUAACAUUAAGACAUGAGCGAAAGCUUGACUUAGCUAUGACUAUUAGGGCCGGUUAAUUUCGUGCCAGCCACCGCGGUUAUACGAAAGACCCAAAACAACAGCCCCCGGCGUAAAGUGUGGCUAGAGAUAGUUAAAUUUUAAUGGAAAACCACCGCCCAGCUGUAAAACGCCCCUGCGAGUUGGAAGCCCACCAACAAAAUGCCCUUAAACAAAAAACCGCUUGACCCCACGAAAGCUAAGAAACAAACUGGGAUUAGAUACCCCACUAUGCUUAGCCAUAAACCAAGGUAAUGUAACACACCAUCACCCGCCAGAGAACUACAAGUGAAAAACUCAAAACUCCAAGGACUUGGCGGUGCUCCACAUCAACCUAGAGGAGCCUGUCCUAUAAUCGAUAAUCCACGUUCUACCCCACCACCUUUAGCCCUCAGCCUAUAUACCGCCGUCGAAAGCCUACCUUCUGAAAGAAGCACAGUAAGCAAAAUAGUUAUUAACUAACACGUCAGGUCAAGGUGUAGCACAUGAGGUGGAAGAGAUGGGCUACAUUUUCUACCAUAGAAAACACGAACAGCCUAAUGAAACUUAGGCUAAAAGGCGGAUUUAGAAGUAAGACAAACAAGAAACUUUGCCUUAAACCCGCUCUGGAGCGCGCACACACCGCCCGUCACCCUCAUCACAAGCAUAAAACAACAAAAUAUAAAAUAAUACAUCAACUAGAUGAGGCAAGUCGUAACAUGGUAAGCGCACUGGAAAGUGUGCUUGGAAU
rnacentral:ncRNA from 1 species